rnacentral:rRNA from 1 species
UACCAGCACCCCGAGUGGUCGGGACGAUUAUUGGGCCUAAAGCAUCCGUAGCCGGUCCUACAAGUCUUCCGUUAAAUCCACCUGCUUAACAGAUGGGCUGCGGAAGAUACUAUAGGGCUAGGAGGCGGGAGAGGCAAGUGGUACUCAGUGGGUAGGGGUAAAAUCCUCUGAUCCAUUGAAGACCACCAGUGGCGAAGGCGGCUUGCCAGAACGCGCUCGACGGUGAGGGAUGAAAGCUGGGGGAGCAAACCGG